GAAAUAGGUAACCCAAGAAUAAGCUUCUAACUUAAUUCUUAAGCAAUAUUGUUUAUAUUUCU
rnacentral:tRNA from 1 species